AUCUCUCCAGUUCCAGCUACACAAACAAGCAUAUUUUCCAGCUUGUGUACUAUGUCAUUUAUACAGAGGCACAUCAAGUUGUGAUUGGCUAAGCGCCAAAAUACACCACUCCUGGAACUAGCUAUUUUCCAGCUCUGGGGGGGGCUCUUUUAAACCACGACAGUCCCCCUCUGUCUGUAGUGUCCAUCUCUCCCUCACCCUUUGGCCUUUGGUCCUGCAGGCACUCAGCCUGAGCUGGGAAUGAGGGGUCUGUGGGGGUGAAUUUUGGCUUGGAGCUGGGAGGUGUCUCCGCUCAGUGUCCAGGGACAAGCUCUGCUGCACCUGUGGUGGUGGGACUGUGCGUGGAGCGGAGAGGGAGGUGACGAGAGAGGCGUGGGCAGGAUCCAGCCGUGAGCGCAGGGUCAGAUUUUCAUGGAGGGGCUGUGUCCUGCUGGGGCAGAGGCUUAAAAGGGAGUCAAGGUCCACGGCACAGCCCCAUCAUUGUGAGGACGUGGAGCUGGUGGGAUCACAUCAUGGCCUGGGUCCCUCUCCUCCUCGCGGUGCUCGCCCACGCCUCAGGUUCUCUGGUCCAGGCAGCGCUGACUCAGCCAUCCUCAUUGUCUCACAGGGUGGGAGACACCGUCAAUAUCCUGUGUUCUGGGAGCAGUGGCAGGUAUGACUGGUUCCAGCAGAAGGUCCCAGGAAGCGCCCUUGUCACUGUGAUCUAUGAAAAUGACAACAGACCCUUAGACAUCCCUUUGCGAUUCACCGGAUCCAAGUCCGGCUCCACGGGCACAUUAACCAUCACUGGGGUCCAACCCGAGGACGAGGCUGUCUAUUACUGUGGUGGCAGAGACAGCAGCAGUAAUGCUGCUAUAUUUGGGGCCGGGACCCAUUUGACCAUCACAGGCCUGCCCAAGCCCGCUCCCACCCUCCACCUCUUCCCACCAUCCCCCGAUGUGAAAAAAAAAGCCACCCUGGUGUGUCUGAUAGAACAAUCCCACCUCAGCCCUGUGGCAGUGGAAUGGUUGGCUGAUGGCACCCUCCUCAAAAAUAACGUGCAGACCAUUCCGCCCGUGCGGCUGAGCAAUGGGGAGUACCUAACCAGCAGCUACCUGUCACUGACUCCCAAACAGUGGCAAAGUUACGACUCAGUCUCCUGCAAGGCCAAGCACGAGGCUGGCAAUGUGGAGAAGACAGUGAACAGAUCCUAGUGCCCCUAAGCCCACUGGGACCUCCUCGCACCCACCGGCCCUUUGCUGGCUCCCUCCGUCCUCCCCACUUCUGGAGACAGCGGCUCCCCCCAGCCACACACCUCGCUCCCCAUGUACCCCUGUCCCUUGCUCCUGUCCCCCCACUAUAAGUGUCAGACAAAUAAAAACCAACACUGAACUAGUGCUG